GCCUAAAGCGUCCGUAGCCGGCUAUGUUAGUUUUCGGUUAAAUCCAUGUGCUUAACACAUGGGCUGUCGAAAAUACUGCAUAGCUAGGGAGUGGGAGAGGUAGACGGUACUCUGUAGGAAGGGGUAAAAUCCUUUGAUCUAUAGAUGACCACCAGUGGCGAAGGCGGUCUACCAGAACACGUCCGACGGUGAGGGAUGAAAGCUGGGGGAGCAAACCGGAUUAGAUACCCGGGUAGUCCCAGCUGUAAACGAUGCAGACUCGGUGAUGCAUUGGCUUGUGGCCAGUGCAGUGCCGCAGGGAAGCCGUUAAGUUUGCCGCCUGGGAAGUACGUACGCAAGUAUGAAACUUAAAGGAAUUGGCGGGGGAGCACCACAAGGGGUGAAGCCUGCGGUUCAAUUGGAGUCAACGCCAGAAAUCUUACCCGGAGAGACAGCAGAAUGAAGGUCAAGCUGAAGACUUUACCAGACAAGCUGAGAGGUGGUGCAUGGCCGUCGCCAGCUCGUGCCGUGAGAUGUCCUGUUAAGUCAGGUAACGAGCGAGACCCUUGCCUCUAGUUGCCACCAUUGCUCUCUGGAGCAGUGGGGCGGAUUAGCGGGACCGCCGCAGUUAAUGCGGAGGAAGGAAAGGGCUACGGCAGGUCAGUAUGCCCCGAA
rnacentral:rRNA from 1 species